CAGGAUUCUUGCAAUUCAGACAUUUGCAGCCUCAAUGAUGCAGGUGACGUACAAGAAGAAGCAGGCUGUCUCCACUAAGCAUCUGGGGCCCAGCUGCUGCCCUUUGCCACCACGGGGAGGCAGCAGACCAACACCCACAUGUGGAACACACUUGGCACCCUACAGUGACCUCGUGGGUGUAAUGGUCAGUGCUUCACUGCCUCUUCCAAAUCGCACGCAAAUUUCUCCUGUGGCUAACUCUAACCCAGAACCAGACGGUGAAGGGAAUUCUGGGAAAUCAGCUCCACCUUAGCUAAACAAAAAGCCGCUGUACCAGGUUUCAUCCUGUCAAUGUAUUUGUAGAUGCCUUUGAUUUUUCUUUAUAACACUAAAUACAGAAUAAUUCGAAUAUACAAGAGAAUAUAAAUACAGAGUCUUUCCAUGGUUUCCUUUAUGAAAUUACUAACUUUCUGUCAUCUUGAGUACCCAGUCAUCUUGGAUCAUUUCUUGCCAUGUGCUUAUUGGGAUGAAUUAAAACUACUGGCCUAUUUGUAUUUCACUUAUAUAUAUGAAAUGUUGAGUCUAUUCCUUAUACUUGCAGCAAAAACAGAUCCUCUGUGGUAUGUAUUUCAUGUAAAUGAGGAUUAGACAAACUUCAGGAUCCAUUUGGCAUUAGUAUCUGUGUAACAAUAGGCUUAUGUAUUUAUGGAGCUAGGUAGGUAUGUCUACAUGCUUGUUCUAACUCUCUCUCUAUAUAUAUGACCAGAUAGUGCUAUAGAGACUUAAGAACAGUCUUGAUGACUAUACAGACAGAUAUCUAAAAACCGAGAGCUGAGAAAUUGGUGUUGUAACUUCUGAGUAAUUAUUUCAACUACUGGACACCUGUCACUAAUCCAAAAGCCAAAGGAAUUGGCAGUUUUGUAUAAGACGUUCCUUCACUUUGGCUUCUUAAGAUGACAGAGGUAGUUGUAGAUAGGAAAUGUAGAAACAGCAAAAAAAAAAAAAAAAAAAAAAGAACUCUCACCACGAAUGAGUGAUAAGAAUUUGUUGAGCUCUCAGACUCUCCGCUUCUGCUUCCCUCAGCACCUCUUAGAUCCUUUAGACUUGUAGCUUGUUUUCCUUUUCUGAGCCAGCGGAGAUUGUAAAUCAACCUUCCAGUCUUCAUCGCCAACCCAGGGGAAAUAGGUGAGACAAGUGGUUUCCAAAUAUUUGAUAAAACAGAGAGGGUGUUUGGGGUAGAAAGAAUUCUGGUUUUCGGUUCAAUCCAUUUACCUACUUAUGUCCUCUUUAGCAUUAUUUAACUUGUUAGAGUUUAUGUUUCCUCUUCUGCAAAAUGGCUGUGAUCUUGUCUGCUUCCUAAGAAGCUCCAGGGUUGACGGAGGGGACUCGGAUGUCCACCUCCCACCUUCCUUCGCCAAUACUUCUUCACUGCCGAGACCCCAUUCGUCUCACGUGACUGAUACCUACUAAGCGGGCUACAACGAGUAGGCUCAUAUGAUUUUUAAAUGCUGGAGAAUUAGGUUUCAGUAGGCAAGUGGAACUUUUAAAAGAAUUUAUUCCUUAGUCUGACAACCACUGUUUAUUUUGCUUAACUGAAGCAACUGAUUUUUCCUUUAUCAGGAUAAAAUCAUGAAAGAUUUUGAAAAAGGCAAGAAAGAUUACUGGUGUCCUGUCUAGCAUACCCUUCUGGGUUAUCUUUGUCUCUUAUUGUCUUUGAGCUAUUUUACAACUCUGUCAGCUGUAGAUAACGG
ensembl:lncRNA